UACAGAGGGGGCAAGCGUUGUUCGGAAUUAUUGGGCGUAAAGCGCGCGUAGGCGGCUACCUAAGUCGGAUGUGAAAGCCCCUGGCUUAACUGGGGAAGUGCACCCGAAACUGGGUAGCUAGAGUGCAAAAGAGGGUCGCGGAAUUCCCAGUGUAGAGGUGAAAUUCGUAGAUAUUGGGAGGAACACCGGUGGCGAAGGCGGCGACCUGGGUUGACACUGACGCUGAGGCGCGAAAGCGUGGGGAGCAAACAGG
rnacentral:rRNA from 1 species